UCUCUCUGAAUAAUCUCUGCCUUCUCAUAAUCCUCAAGAGGCAUGCAACAUGUAUAUCGAUCUUUCGCUCAUUUCUGUUCCCAAAUGGUGAUUUUUACCAGCAAGAAACCUGGCUUUUCCAAGUUGGUUAUGAAUGAGGACCAAGUCCCAACUCUCUCUCUUUAUACAGAAAAUGAUGGGGACGAUGAUGAUGACGACGAUGAUGGAGGAGAUGUGGCGCCAGCAGCGUAGUUAUCAUAGAUUCAUAGUGUUUAUGAAUAAGACUGGCUUAAGCUUUGAUACUUUCAUCAACUUGAGCUGAACAGAACAUUUGGCAAUAUAUAUAUAUAUAUAGUAAAGAAUCAGCUGCAUGUUAUGAAUUUAUAUUCAUAGGGCAACUAUUUUGUAACAUACCAUAAUAUUAGGUGUAUGCAUGCAAUUUAAAUAAGCAAAAGAUACCUCCGGUGUGCUUAUAUAGUCAUACGCACCAGAGCCCUCUGAGAAAAAAGAAGAAGAAGAAGAAGAGGAAGAAUUCAGGUGUCUGUGUUUUACGACUUUUGGUUGUCUGGGGUGCUCUUCCCCUUAUAUCAUCCUCAUCAUGAGUUGGACAGCUUCUUUUUAUUUUGCAAAGGGCCGGAAAGAGAAAAAUAUUACUUGUAUAUGAUUACUGAAAUCAUGUAUGGCAGCUGCUGCAAUAUUAAAUUUUAAUAAUAAUUAGUGAUAUCUACUUAUUCGGAGUACGUAAUA